GUCCAGGUGGUGAAAUCGGUAGACACAAGGGAUUUAAAAUCCCUCGGCCUUAAGGCUGUGCGGGUUCAAGUCCCGCCCUGGGCACCA
rnacentral:tRNA from 1 species